AAGACUAUAGACCUGCGGAGUACCUGCGGAAGGAUCAUUAACCUUUCAAAAAACAGGGUGCGUCGCGGCCCCCCUCCGGGGGCGGUUUGGGGUCCUCCCCUUCACGCGCGCACGACUGCAUCCUUACUUUACGAGCACCUUCUGUUCUCCCUCGGCGGGGCAACCUGCCGUUGGAACCGAAUAAACCCUUUUUUGCAUCCAGCAUUACCCGUUCCGAAACAAACAAUCGUUACAACUUUC
rnacentral:misc_RNA from 1 species